rnacentral:rRNA from 1 species
AAAUUGAAGAGUUUGAUCAUGGCUCAGAUUGAACGCUGGCGGCAGGCCUAACACAUGCAAGUCGAGCGGUAGCACAGAGAGCUUGCUCUCGGGUGACGAGCGGCGGACGGGUGAGUAAUGUCUGGGAAACUGCCUGAUGGAGGGGGAUAACUACUGGAAACGGUAGCUAAUACCGCAUAACGUCGCAAGACCAAAGUGGGGGACCUUCGGGCCUCAUGCCAUCAGAUGUGCCCAGAUGGGAUUAGCUAGUAGGUGGGGUAAUGGCUCACCUAGGCGACGAUCCCUAGCUGGUCUGAGAGGAUGACCAGCCACACUGGAACUGAGACACGGUCCAGACUCCUACGGGAGGCAGCAGUGGGGAAUAUUGCACAAUGGGCGCAAGCCUGAUGCAGCCAUGCCGCGUGUGUGAAGAAGGCCUUCGGGUUGUAAAGCACUUUCAGCGGGGAGGAAGGCGGUGAGGUUAAUAACCUCAUCGAUUGACGUUACCCGCAGAAGAAGCACCGGCUAACUCCGUGCCAGCAGCCGCGGUAAUACGGAGGGUGCAAGCGUUAAUCGGAAUUACUGGGCGUAAAGCGCACGCAGGCGGUCUGUCAAGUCGGAUGUGAAAUCCCCGGGCUCAACCUGGGAACUGCAUUCGAAACUGGCAGGCUAGAGUCUUGUAGAGGGGGUAGAAUUCCAGGUGUAGCGGUGAAAUGCGUAGAGAUCUGGAGGAAUACCGGUGGCGAAGGCGGCCCCCUGGACAAAGACUGACGCUCAGGUGCGAAAGCGUGGGGAGCAAACAGGAUUAGAUACCCUGGUAGUCCACGCCGUAAACGAUGUCGAUUUGGAGGUUGUGCCCUUGAGGCGUGGCUUCCGGAGCUAACGCGUUAAAUCGACCGCCUGGGGAGUACGGCCGCAAGGUUAAAACUCAAAUGAAUUGACGGGGGCCCGCACAAGCGGUGGAGCAUGUGGUUUAAUUCGAUGCAACGCGAAGAACCUUACCUGGUCUUGACAUCCACAGAACUUUCCAGAGAUGGAUUGGUGCCUUCGGGAACUGUGAGACAGGUGCUGCAUGGCUGUCGUCAGCUCGUGUUGUGAAAUGUUGGGUUAAGUCCCGCAACGAGCGCAACCCUUAUCCUUUGUUGCCAGCGGUUCGGCCGGGAACUCAAAGGAGACUGCCAGUGAUAAACUGGAGGAAGGUGGGGAUGACGUCAAGUCAUCAUGGCCCUUACGACCAGGGCUACACACGUGCUACAAUGGCAUAUACAAAGAGAAGCGACCUCGCGAGAGCAAGCGGACCUCAUAAAGUAUGUCGUAGUCCGGAUUGGAGUCUGCAACUCGACUCCAUGAAGUCGGAAUCGCUAGUAAUCGUAGAUCAGAAUGCUACGGUGAAUACGUUCCCGGGCCUUGUACACACCGCCCGUCACACCAUGGGAGUGGGUUGCAAAAGAAGUAGGUAGCUUAACCUUCGGGAGGGCGCUUACCACUUUGUGAUUCAUGACUGGGGUGAAGUCGUAACAAGGUAACCGUAGGGGAACCUGCGGUUGGAUCACCUCCUUA